GCCACUAGAUGGCACUAGAUGUUCGGAUUAAAGUGCCUUCCUGAGCUCCACGGGCCCAGGGCGAGGGCAGGCAGGGUCUGAAGACAGCUUCUCUCGGCCACCGUCAUUCUCUCUCCCACUUCGCUCUUCACUUCUCAUCCCUUCCUCAUCCCAUUUAAACAUUAGAUUCCUUCCAGCAGCGGUGUUUGCGUGAUUUCAAAGGUAAGGACACAGAAGCCCAGGGAAUAUAAGUAACCUCCCAAAAAUCGCACAGCAGAUUAAAUUUUGGGAUCUUGACCAUAAAGAUUUCAGGAAAUUUUGUUGAAUGCUGUGUUAAAAUCAAGAGGCAUGAUAGCCGUGGCAUUCCUGAGAUUCAAGUGUAAUAGCC
rnacentral:lncRNA from 1 species